rnacentral:rRNA from 1 species
AACGUAGGAGACGAACGUUAUCCGGAGUUACUGGGCGUAAAGGGCGUGUAGGCGGUUUGUUAAGUCUGGCGUGAAAGCUCUCGGCUAAACCGGGAGAGGUCGUUGGAUACUGGCGAACUAGAGGAUGGUAGAGGCGUGUGGAAUUCCGGGUGUAGUGGUGAAAUGCGUAGAGAUCCGGAGGAACACCAGUGGCGAAGGCGACACGCUGGGCCAUACCUGACGCUAAAGCGCGACAGCAUGGGGAGCAAACAGG